UACGUAGGUGGCAAGCGUUGUCCGGAUUUAUUGGGCGUAAAGCGAGCGCAGGCGGUCUUUUAAGUCUGAUGUGAAAGCCCCCGGCUUAACCGGGGAGGGUCAUUGGAAACUGGGAGACUUGAGUGCAGAAGAGGAAAGCGGAAUUCCAUGUGUAGCGGUGAAAUGCGUAGAUAUAUGGAGGAACACCAGUGGCGAAGGCGGCUUUCUGGUCUGUAACUGACGCUGAGGCUCGAAAGCGUGGGGAGCAAACAGGAUUAGAUACCCUGGUAGUCCACGCCGUAAACGAUGAGUGAUAAGUGUUGGAGGGUGGCAGACCUUAAGUGCUGAAGCAAACGCAUUAAGCAAUCCGCCUGGGGAGUACGACCGCAAGGUUGAA
rnacentral:rRNA from 1 species